GCAUCAAUGGUGUAGUGGUUAGCAUUCAAGCCUUCCAAGCUUGAGAGGGGGGUUCGAUUCCCCCUUGAUGCA